UGAACUGCUCCUGAUGUUACGGCGGACGGGUGAGUACCGUGGGUACCUGCCUGUAAGACUGGGAUACUCCGGGAAACCGGGGCUAAUACCGGAUGCUUGUUUGAACCGCAUGGUUCAAACAUAAAAGGUGGCUUCGGCUACCACUUACAGAUGGACCCGCGGCGCAUUAGCUAGUUGGUGAGGUAACGGCUCACCAAGGCAACGAUGCGUAGCCGACCUGAGAGGGUGAUCGGCCACACUGGGACUGAGACACGGCCCAGACUCCUACGGGAGGCAGCAGUAGGGAAUCUUCCGCAAUGGACGAAAGUCUGACGGAGCAACGCCGCGUGAGUGAUGAAGGUUUUCGGAUCGUAAAGCUCUGUUGUUAGGGAAGAACAAGUACCGUUCGAAUAGGCGGUACCUUGGCCGGUACCUAACCAGAAAGCCCCGGCUAACUACGUGCCACACCGCGGUAAAUACGUAGGUGGCAAGCGUGUCCGAUUUUUUGGGGGGGCAAAG
rnacentral:rRNA from 1 species